rnacentral:rRNA from 1 species
GACGAACGCUGGCGGCGUGCCUAACACAUGCAAGUCGAACGGAACUGUUUUGAAAGAUUUCUUCGGAAUGAAUUUGAUUUAGUUUAGUGGCGGACGGGUGAGUAACGCGUGAGUAACCUGCCUUCAAGAGGGGAAUAACAUUCUGAAAAGAAUGCUAAUACCGCAUGACAUAUCGGAACCACAUGGCUUUGAUUUCAAAGAUUUUAUCGCUUGAAGAUGGACUCGCGUCCGAUUAGUUAGUUGGUGAGGUAACGGCUCACCAAGACCGCGAUCGGUAGCCGGACUGGGAGGUUGACCGGCCACGUUGGGACUGAGACACGGCCCAGACUCCUACGGGAGGCAGCAGUGGGGGAUAUUGCGCAAUGGGGGCAACCCUGACGCAGCAACGCCGCGUGAAGGAUGAAGGUUUUCGGAUUGUAAACUUCUUUUAUUAAGGACGAAAAAUGACGGUACUUAAUGAAUAAGCUCCGGCUAACUACGUG